rnacentral:rRNA from 1 species
UCCAACGACCAUAUCACGUUGACUAUAUGGGUUUUCGUCCGAUCACUGAAAUUAAGCAGCGACGGGCGCGGUCGGUACUUAGAUUGGGGACCGCUUUGUUGUUGUUGGCA